UAGCGUCAGUAACCACCUUAAGAUAGAACCUCAGCAGCUAGAGCUCCGGAAAUUUCGGGUGAGUGUGUCCCGCACAGCCCAACACGGGUUCCUCGAAAUGAACUAUCAGCUUUA